rnacentral:rRNA from 1 species
CCUACGGGAGGCAGCAGCUAAGAAUCUUCCGCAAUGGGGGCAACCCUGACGGAGCGACGCCGCGUGGAUGAUGAAGGCCGUAAGGUUGUAAAAUCCUUUUGUCGGUGAAGAAUAAGCGUGGGAGUGGAAAGCCCGCGUGAUGACGUUAACCGGCGAAUAAGCCCCGGCUAAUUACGUGCCAGCAGCCGCGGUAAU